UCUCAAGAAGCGAAUCGCCCUUAAUUUCGGCUUAAGUACUGACUAGAACUCUAGUCCUUGA
rnacentral:tRNA from 1 species